UCUGCCUCAAAAAUUCACCAAGCAGAAUGC
rnacentral:piRNA from 1 species